UACGUAGGGUCCGAGCGUUGUCCGGAAUUAUUGGGCGUAAAGAGCUCGUAGGUGGUUUGUCGCGUUGUCCGUGAAAACUCACAACUCAAUUGUGGGCGUGCGGGCGAUACGGGCAGACUGGAGUACUGCAGGGGAGACUGGAAUUCCUGGUGUAGCGGUGGAAUGCGCAGAUAUCAGGAGGAACACCGAUGGCGAAGGCAGCUCGCUGGGACGGUACUGACGCUGAGGCGCGAAAGCGUGGGGAGCAAACAGG
rnacentral:rRNA from 1 species